AAAGAGAGUUAGGGCAAGGGUCAAAAAAACUGCAAACCGGGUGUAAACAGCUGUUUUUACACGCCUCCCCCUGCUGAUUUUGAGUGAUUAUUGUGAAUGCUCUGAUUAAUACAUGUAAACAAAUAAUGCUUUGUUUUAAUGACCUAGCCUUGUCCAAUGUGCUCCAGGCUCUCUGGAUUUUUGAUGCGUUUGGGACUUGUCCGCUCCCCCUGGCCCGCCGGAACAGCACCCUUUCUGUGUUCCAGGACCUCCUGAUUUACAAAUGAAGGUCUGACUACUCUGCCAAACUUCACACAUUAAUGUA